AUGGCGGCCAAGAAGCUGUGCGAGGCCUACUCCAAGAGCCUGCUCGACGAGGCGCACCGGUGGGGCGGCCUGAAGCAGACCGGGGUCAGCCUCAAGUACAUGAUGGAGUUCGGGUCCCGGCCCAGCGAGCGCAACCUGCUCAUCUCCGCCCAGUUCCUCCACAAGGAGCUCCCCAUCAGGAUCGCCCGCCGGGCCAUAGAGCUCGAGAACCUGCCGUACGGAUUGUCUGAGAAACCCGCCGUCUUGAAGGUUCGGGAUUGGUACUUGGAUUCUUUCCGCGACGUCAGGGCCUUCCCUGAUAUCAAGGAUGCGACUGACGAGAGGGAUUUCACGCAAAUGAUAAAGGCAGUAAAGGUUAGACAUAAUAAUGUCGUCCCAAUGAUGGCAUUAGGAGUUCAACAGCUGAAGAAAGACAUGAAACAGAAGGUUGUUACUGAGGAUCUGGAUGAGAUCCAUCAAUUUCUUGACCGUUUUUACAUGUCAAGAAUUGGCAUUCGAAUGCUUAUUGGUCAGCAUGUGGAGUUGCAUAAUCCCAAUCCUCCUCCUCAUUGCGUGGGAUAUAUCCACACGAGAAUGUCCCCAGUUGAGGUUGCACGUAAUGCUAUUGAGGAUGCUCGUGCUAUUUGUUUGCGCGAGUAUGGCAGUGCUCCGGAUAUUAAUAUAUAUGGGGAUCCCAGCUUUACAUUCCCGUAUGUUCCAACACACUUGCAUCUAAUGGUAUUUGAGUUGGUUAAGAACUCUUUGCGUGCUGUCCAAGAACGAUUCAUGGAUUCAGAUAAAGUUGCACCUCCUAUUCGAAUUAUUGUUGCUGAUGGAGACGAAGACGUUACAAUCAAGGUCUCAGAUGAGGGGGGUGGCAUCCCAAGAAGUGGUCUUCCCAAAAUCUUCACGUAUCUGUAUAGCACUGCGAAAAACCCCCUGGAUGAGAACUCAGAUCUUGGAAUAGCUGAUAAUGUGACUAUGGCCGGUUAUGGGUAUGGGCUUCCAAUCAGCCGUCUGUAUGCUCGGUACUUCGGUGGUGACCUGCAAAUUAUUUCUAUGGAAGGAUAUGGGACUGAUGCAUACCUCCAUUUAUCUCGCCUCGCAGAUUCGCAAGAACCGCUUCCGUGAGAAAAACUAAAGCAUGAACUCCUGGUUCAUGAGAACAGACUUCUGGGAAAUGCCCACGGAGGAAAAGAACUCAUGCUUCGUGUUGCAGAGUUGGUUCCGAGGCAUCCUGGACAGACCAAGAAGCAAGAGCCUGUGUUCACCGCGAGUACUGGAGCUUCGAAAUCUGGCAAGGGCGGGAAAAAGAAGAGAUAGUCGAACAUAGUUGCAAAUGCAUCACCGCAGUUACAUUAUUAUUUUGUGAGACCGGUUCCAUGGAUCCACCCGGGAACCGGACCGGACGGCGGUGGGUUCCGGGUGGAUCUAUCGCAACAAAUGGGUGGAUCCGGUUCCAAUUUUUGGAACUGGUUCUUAGCGGGUGGUUCCCGGUUCUAGGUCGGGAACCGCCCGCUUGGACCAUGCACACCCCUAUGUCAACUUCUGCACACGUGAUGCAUGCCUGUUUCUUUCCAUCCAUGACCAUGUGCAAUCUUUACAAGAGCACUUGCUGGAGCAAAGAGUGGUCGGAUUUGGUUUCUGGAUUCAGAUUCGGUUUCUAUUUCCCACGACGAUUACGCCAUAAAAAACGUUUGAGUCGAACUUAGUUAUGCAUUGAAUAGUCUUCUGCAUAUUUGGGAAUUCUCAGAGAUGCGGAUGUCUAUAAUCGGUUUUGGUCUUAAACCUGAUGAGAUUUUCUUGUGGA